CUUUUAAUAACCCAAUACAUCACCAAGCAUGUCCCAAUCCCUAAAAUUGCAAAAACUUGCAUAAUUGCAAAAACUUGCAUAUGUAAAUAAAAAAUUUGUAAACCUUCUCACUGACCAACAGGGCGUGGCCAUCUUAAAACCGCCAAGUCGGUGACGUCAUCUGCAUGUUUUUUUUUGUAAUCUGCAUGGUUUUAAUUUUAUUUUUUAUUAACAACAAACCAAUACAGGAAGUACAUGUGGGAACACAAGUAUAUAUGAAUAAUAUACAAUGGACAAUUGGGCUAGGGGGUACAAUAUCACAUUAAACAAGGACCUUAAGGGACAUACAUACAUUAAUAAUUCUAACAGCUUUUUUGUUAGUAGAGUAUUUAAUUGUCUUACAAAAAAAAGAACUGUAUUUUAAGGUAAGAAAGUGUUUUUUUUGUUUAUCAAUUUACAUUUGUGAAUAUGAAAUUUUGCCAAAAGAAUAAAGAAAUUAAUUACAUAAAAUGUUUCAGCUUAUUUCUAUCGUAGGUAAAGAAUCCAAGCAGUCCAUCUCUCCACAAUAGUGUAAGAUCUUCAUAAAUGUGUUCAAUUAUAAAUCUACUGAUGUCUUGCCACAGUUUUCUUACAUGAAUGCAAUGCAAAAAAGAUGCAACACUGUUUCUGGGUGGUCAUUACAAAAGGAGCAAUUUGAGUUGAUGUUUUCCUUAAACUUAUUCAUAUAGUGGUUGGCAGGAUAAUAUUUAUGAAUAAUUUUAAGGGAAACUUCCUUAAUUUUGUUAACAAGUAUGUAUGUGUGUGGCAACAUCCAAACAUUUUUUUACCAGAGAUAUUAUCAAUAAAUCCAUUCCAAUAAGGCAUGACAUAAGGUAUAGAUACAACAUCCUGCUGAAACAAGGUUCGUAUUGCUCUGUUGUUGAAUGGACCAAAAGAGAAACAAAUCUUCCCUACUGAUGAACCAACAGGAUCAACGGAAGGGCUCUAAUGAUGUUACAACUGCAGGAAAUAAUCACCACAACAGGUUGAAUAAAGUCUGCAAUGUUCAUCAGGAGGUUGUGGGCCAGCUUCCAAGAUUCCCCAGAGUUGUCAGGAUACUCCAGAAUACACACCAUUGUCUGAAGUUCAUCAACAAACAUCACCUUUCUGUGAAUCGUCGCCAGCACCCCCAUCAGCAGCCCAAACAGCCACAGGAUGAGACAGACCACCAAUGCGUAGCACUUCCUCCUCAGCCAACUGGCCCUUAUGGUCCUCACCAGCGCUAAGUAGCGGUCCACACUAACCAUUGCCAA
rnacentral:lncRNA from 1 species